UGGGGAAUUGUUCGCAAUGGGCGCAAGCCUGACGACGCAACGCCGCGUGGAGGACGAAGAUCUUCGGGUCGUAAACUCCUGUCGACCGGGAAGAACGUUUCGGGGGUGAAUAGCCUUUGAAGGUGACGGUACCGGUAAAGGAAGCCCCGGCUAACUCCGUGCCAGCAGCCGCGGUAAUACGGGGGGGGCAAGCGUUGUUCGGAAUUACUGGGCGUAAAGGGCCCGUAGGCGGCCAACUAAGUCCGACGUGAAAUCCCCAGGCUUAACCUGGGAACUGCGUCGGAUACUGGAUGGCUUGAAUCCGGGAGAGGGAUGCAGAAUUCCAGGUGUAGCGGUGAAAUGCGUAGAUAUCUGGAGGAAUACCGGUGGCGAAGGCGGCAUCCUGGACCGGCAUUGACGCUGAACGGCGAAAGCUAGGGGAGCAAA
rnacentral:rRNA from 1 species